CGGGCAGUCAGCUGAAGAAUUUCUACAUGCAAGAUAAAAAUAUCUAGCUUCGACCGGACGCGGUUGCUCACGCUUGUAAUCCCACCACUUUGGGAGGCUGAGGCGGGCAGAUCACAAGGUCAGGAAAGAAUUUGGUGACGUGACCAUCCUCGUUAACAAUGCUGACUUAGUCACGGGAAAGCCCUUCCUCGAUAUUCCAGAUCACAUGGUGGAAAAAUCCUUUCUUGUAAAUGCCAUCACUCAUUUCUGGAUUAUUCUGCAAGUAAAUUUGCAGCCUUUGGCUUUGCUGAAUCUCUCUUUUUUGAAUUAACUAUGAUAAAGAAAACUGAAGUUAAAAGCACCAUCGUGUGCCCACAUUUCAUCAACACUGGAAUGUUUGAGGGCUGUACAAGCAAGUUAACUCUUAAAGUAUCCGUUUCUGUUACCAAUUCUGGAGCAGGAGUAUGUGGCCAAAAAAAUUUUAAAUGCUAUUUUAGAGGAACAAGU
rnacentral:lncRNA from 10 species